AAGAUGGGGGGACCAUCCUCCAAGGCUAAAUACUCGUAAUCGACCGAUAGCGAACCAGUACUGUGAAGGAAAGGCGAAAAGAACCCCGGGAGGGGAGUGAAAUAGAUCCUGAAACCGCAUACAUACAAACAGUAGGAGCCCGCAAGGGUGACUGCGUACCUUUUGCAUAAUGGGUCAGCGACUUACGUUCAAUGGCAAGCUUAACCGAGUAGGGGAGGCGCAGCGAAAGCGAGUCCGAACAGGGCGACAUGAGUCGUUGGGCGUAGACCCGAAACCAGAUGAUCUAUCCAUGGCCAGGCUGAAGGUGUGGUAACACACACUGGAGGGCCGAACCGACUAGUGUUGCAAAAUUAGCGGAUGAGCUGUGGAUAGGGGUGAAAGGCUAAACAAAUCUGGAGAUAGCUGGUUCUCCCCGAAAACUAUUGAGGUAGUGCCUCGUGUAUGGCUCCAGGGGGUAGAGCACUGUUAUGGCUAGGGGGACAUGGCGUCUUACCAAACCAUGGCAAACUCCGAAUACUUGGAAGUCUGAGCACGGGAGACAGAGCACCGGGUGCUAACGUCCGGACUCAAAAGGGAAACAACCCAGACCGCCGGCUAAGGUCCCUAAUAUUGACUAAGUGGAAAACGAAGUGGGAAGGCUAAGACAGUCAGGAAGUUGGCUUAGAAGCAGCCAUCCUUCAAAGAAAGCGUAAUAGCUCACUGAUCGAGUCUUCCUGCGCGGAAGAUGUAACGGGGCUAAGUCAAUAACCGAAGCCGCGGAUUCGCAGCAAUGCGAGUGGUAGGGGAGCGUUCUGUAAGCCUGCGAAGGCGGAUCUGCGAGGACCGCUGGAGGUAUCAGAAGUGCGAAUGCUGACAUGAGUAACGUUAAAGCGGGUGAAAAGCCCGCUCGCCGCAAGCCCAAGGUUUCCUGCUCUACGUUCAUCGGAGCAGGGUGAGUCGGCCCCUAAGGUCAGGCUGAGAAGCGUAGCUGAUGGGAAGCUGGUUAAUAUUCCAGCACCGAUUUCAAGUGCGAAGGGGGGACGGAGUCCUGAAGGUCAUCCGGGUGUUGGAUAUCCCGGUUUACGAGCGUAGGAGGUUGACAGGCAAAUCCGUCAACGGAUCUCCAAGGCGAAGGAUCGAGGUUGAGAGAUCAACUGAAGUGACUGAAUGGGCUUCCAGGAAAAGCCUCUAAGCAUCAGCUUGGAAUUGACCGUACCGCAAACCGACACUGGUGGGCGAGCUGAAUAUGCUCAGGCGCUUGAGAGAACUCAGGAGAAGGAACUCGGCAAAUUGACACCGUAACUUCGGGAUAAGGUGUGCCUUUGUAGUGUGAAGGGAGAAACACCCCGAGCAUGAAGAGGCCUCAGAGAAUCGGUGGCUGCAACUGUUUACUAAAAACACAGCACUCUGCAAAGAUGAAAGUCGACGUAUAGGGUGUGAUGCCUGCCCGGUGCUGGAAGAUUAAUUGAUGGGGUGCAAGCUCCUGAUCGAAGUCCCAGUAAACGGCGGCCGUAACUAUAACGGUCCUAAGGUAGCGAAAUUCCUUGUCGGGCAAGUUCCGACCUGCACGAAUGGCAUAAUGAUGGCCACACUGUCUCCUCCUGAGACUCAGUGAAGUUGAAAUGUUUGUGAUGAUGCAAUCUCCCCGCGGCUAGACGGAAAGACCCCAUGAACCUUUACUGCAGCUUUGCAUUGGACUUUGAACCGAUCUGUGUAGGAUAGGUGGGAGGCAGUGAAGCUAGGACGCCAGUCUUAGCGGAGCCAACCUUGAAAUACCACCCUGAUUUGUUUGAGGUUCUAACCUAGGAGCGUAAUCCGCUUCGGGGACCGUGCAUGGUAGGCAGUUUGACUGGGGCGGUCUCCUCC
rnacentral:rRNA from 1 species